GAUGAACGCUGGCGGCGUGCCUAACGCAUGCAAGUCGAGCGAUCUUCUUCGGAAGAGAGCGGCGGACGGGUGAGUAACGCGUGGGUAACCUGCCCUGUACACACGGAUAACAUACCGAAAGGUAUGCUAAUACGGGAUAAUAUGCUUUUAUCGCAUGGUAGAAGUAUCAAAGCUCCGGCGGUACAGGAUGGACCCGCGUCUGAUUAGCUAGUUGGUAAGGUAACGGCUUACCAAGGCGACGAUCAGUAGCCGACCUGAGAGGGUGAUCGGCCACAUUGGAACUGAGACACGGUCCAAACUCCUACGGGAGGCAGCAGUGGGGAAUAUUGCACAAUGGGCGGAAGCCUGAUGCAGCAACGCCGCGUGAGCGAUGAAGGCCUUCGGGUCGUAAAGCUCUGUCCUCAAGGAAGAUAAUGACGGUACUUGAGGAGGAAGCCCCGGCUAACUACGUGCCAGCAGCCGCAGUAAAAC
rnacentral:rRNA from 1 species